rnacentral:tRNA from 1 species
UUAUUACUUUGGCAGAUUAGUGCAAUGAAUUUARAAUUCAAAAAUAUAAUUUUUAUUAUAUGUA